UACGUAGGGACCGAGCGUUGUCCGGAAUCAUUGGGCGUAAAGAGCGUGUAGGCGGCCACUUAAGUCCUGCGUGAAAUCUUGCGGCUCAACCGCAAGCGGUCGUGGGAAACUGGGUGGCUAGAGUGCGGGAGAGGAGAGUGGAAUUCCGAGUGUAGCAGUGAAAUGUGUAGAUAUUCGGAAGAACACCAGUGGCGAAGGCAGCGAAUUGGCGCUAUAUUGACGCUCAGGCACGAAAGCAUGGGGAUCAAACAGG
rnacentral:rRNA from 1 species